UGUAUCGUAAAUUUAAUACAAUAAAAAAGCGCGAACUUACAUGGGCAGCUGUAAAUGACGUUCUCAGUUCGAAACACAGGAUCCGCCGAAAUGUACAAGAAUGCAAAAAAAAAAAUGGCGAAACGUCAAGCAGCAGUUGAAGACAGCGCUGCAGCGAGUGCGCGAGCACGAGCGUCAAACUGGUGCAGGCCGAAAUGACCAUGGCAUACCCAGCCCUGCUGGACGCCGCCAGAGACGUCAUCGGGCUUGAAAAUCCCAUGCUUGUGUGCCUAUCAGGUGGCAUAGACGUGAACGACGGCCUCCCAGGCGAACAGCAGCCAAUGUCAUGCGAUGGGGCUGCAUCUGGUCCAUCUGGACAACAAGCCAUAAAUAGUAACUCAACAGAGUACUACGCAGAUUUCACGGAAUGCAUUCCUCAUGAUGCUCCUGGUGCUGUCGACGAGAGCGAAUUUUAUGAUAAUGAAGUACCUGGUGACAAACUGGGCCCUGUUCCCACUGCUGUUGAUGUGCCAAGGAGUCGAUUUUUCUUAUACAGAAUACAAUCAGAGUGUGCAGCCAAACAUCCACGACAGCAGGUGAUGAGGCUGUUUCCAUUGACAGCAGUCAUGAGCAACAAGACCUGAACGAGCCUGUGCCUAUCAGCCAGAACACUCAGCAGCAGCACACGGGCAGCCGUCAGCAGCAGCAACACGGCAACUGUUGCCACGAAACGUUCUACUGCACGCCUAUCAAAGCCAAUGCAAAAGAAUACGCAUUUGGGCUGGUUGGUUCAUGAUUACGAGCAAUAAAAACAGCGCUAAACGACGGGACGAGUGAAGGGAC